CAGCUACCGAUUUAAAGGGAUACUAUAGUCCCAAAAACAAAUUGUAAUUUCAGGAUUCUAGGUUUCUAUCAACAUAAUCACUCUUUCAAUGCAUCUCUAUGAGGAGAUGCCGAUUGUCUAGAACGUAAGCUCUUAAGCUACGGCAUUUAUUGGCGUUUUAUAAAUAAUAAUAGGCACAGGGCUUUGAUUUGCUGCUCAUGCCAAAU